rnacentral:rRNA from 1 species
UACGGAGGAUGCAAGCGUUAUCCGGAUUUAUUGGGUUUAAAGGGUGCGUAGGCGGAUAUGUAAGUCAGCGGUGAAACUCACAGGCUCAACCUGUGCCGUGCCGUUGAAACUGUGUAUCUGGAAUGCGGAUGCUGUGGGAGGAAUGUGUAGUGUAGCGGUGAAAUGCAUAGAUAUUACACAGAACACCGAUUGCGAAUGCAUCUCACAAAGCCGUUAUUGACGCUGAGGCACGAAAGUGUGGGGAU